UGGUGCUUGCAUCAUGAUUUACAUUUGAGUGAGUGGCGAACUGGUGAGUAACACGUGGGAAACCUGCCCAGAAGCGGGGGAUAACACCUGGAAACAGAUGCUAAUACCGCAUAACAACUUGGACCGCAUGGUCCGAGCUUGAAAGAUGGCUUCGGCUAUCACUUUUGGAUGGUCCCGCGGCGUAUUAGCUAGAUGGUGGGGUAACGGCUCACCAUGGCAAUGAUACGUAGCCGACCUGAGAGGGUAAUCGGCCACAUUGGGACUGAGACACGGCCCAAACUCCUACGGGAGGCAGCAGUAGGGAAUCUUCCACAAUGGACGAAAGUCUGAUGGAGCAACGCCGCGUGAGUGAAGAAGGGUUUCGGCUCGUAAAACUCUGUUGUUAAAGAAGAACAUAUCUGAGAGUAACUGUUCAGGUAUUGACGGUAUUUAACCAGAAAGCCACGGCUAACUACGUGCCAGCAGCCGCGGUAAUACGUAGGUGGCAAGCGUUGUCCGGAUUUAUUGGGCGUAAAGCGAGCGCAGGCGGUUUUUUAAGUCUGAUGUGAAAGCCUUCGGCUCAACCGAAGAAGUGCAUCGGAAACUGGGAAACUUGAGUGCAGAAGAGGACAGUGGAACUCCAUGUGUAGCGGUGAAAUGCGUAGAUAUAUGGAAGAACACCAGUGGCGAAGGCGGCUGUCUGGUCUGUAACUGACGCUGAGGCUCGAAAGUAUGGGUAGCAAACAGGAUUAGAUACCCUGGUAGUCCAUACCGUAAACGAUGAAUGCUAAGUGUUGGAGGGUUUCCGCCCUUCAGUGCUGCAGCUAACGCAUUAAGCAUUCCGCCUGGGGAGUACGGCCGCAAGGCUGAAACUCAAAGGAAUUGACGGGGGCCCGCACAAGCGGUGGAGCAUGUGGUUUAAUUCGAAGCUACGCGAAGAACCUUACCAGGUCUUGACAUACUAUGCAAAUCUAAGAGAUUAGACGUUCCCUUCGGGGACAUGGAUACAGGUGGGUGCAUGGUUGUCGUCAGCUCGUGUCGUGAGAAGUUUGGGGUUAAGUCCCGGCACCGAGCGCCACCCUUUAUUAUCAGUUGCCACCAUUAAAUUGGGCACUCUGGUGAGACUGCCGGUGACAACCCGAGGAAGAGGGGGGGGAGGAAGUCCAAAUCAACUUCCCCCCUAUUAACCGGGGGUCAACAACGGCUCCAAAGGAGGGGUGCACACAAAUUUGGAACUCCCCCGAAGAAGGCAAAUUCUUUAAAACAAUCU
rnacentral:rRNA from 1 species